rnacentral:rRNA from 1 species
GAUGAACGCUGGCGGCGUGCCUAAUACAUGCAAGUCGAGCGAACAGACGAGGAGCUUGCUCCUCUGACGUUAGCGGCGGACGGGUGAGUAACACGUGGAUAACCUACCUAUAAGACUGGGAUAACUUCGGGAAACCGGAGCUAAUACCGGAUAAUAUAUUGAACCGCAUGGUUCAAUAGUGAAAGACGGUUUUGCUGUCACUUAUAGAUGGAUCCGCGCCGCAUUAGCUAGUUGGUAAGGUAACGGCUUACCAAGGCAACGAUGCGUAGCCGACCUGAGAGGGUGAUAGGCCACACUGGAACUGAGACACGGUCCAGACUCCUAAGGGAGGCAGCAGUAGGGAAUCUUACGCAAUGGGCGAAAGCCUGACGGAGCAACGCCGCGUGAGUGAUGAAGGUCUUCGGAUCGUAAAACUCUGUUAUUAGGGAAGAACAAAUGUGUAAGUAACUAUGCACGUCUUGACGGUACCUAAUCAGAAAGCCACGGCUAACUACGUG